AAAGAGUAGCAAUAAAUGAUGAUGAUAUGUGAUUAUCAACAAUACAAGAAGCUGAAAUGAAAUCUGUAUCAGUACUUAGGUGGGAACUUUAUGGUAGUGAUAUAUUGAACAAUGAGAGCAAUAAAAGUAUAGGUUAAAAUGAUUAAAUGUCACGGUCUCUGGUGCACUCUGAAGGUACUUGGGGAUAGCGUUUGCGAUCAGUGCAGUAGUUGUAGAUGGUGUAUUUGUUGCGUACCCAAGCCAGUUUUUGCCACUGAGCAGCAUCAAGGUCACGGAACUCUGGUUGAUCCCACCACCUCUUGCCUUGAGUGUCACAGAACUUGGCAUUCACUGAUGCCUC
rnacentral:lncRNA from 1 species